AUCCAUGUAGAGCAAUUAGUAGCGCGUUGGACUUCUAAUUCGAAAGUCGUGGGUUCGAAUCCCACCUGGGAUG